rnacentral:rRNA from 1 species
AUUGAACGCUGGCGGCAUGCCUUACACAUGCAAGUCGAACGGCAGCACGGGGGCGAACCCUGGUGGCGAGUGGCGAACGGGUGAGUAAUACAUCGGAACGUGUCCUGUAGCGGGGAGUAACCUCUCGAAGAGAGGCUAAUACCGCAUACGACCUACGGGUGGAAGAAGGGGGAGUCGCAAGACCUCUCACUAUAGGAGCGGCCGAUGUCGGAUUAGCUAGUUGGUGGGGUAAAGGACCACCAAGGCUACGAUCCGUAGCUGGUCUGAGAGGACGACCAGCCACACUGGAACUGAGACACGGUCCAGACUCCUACGGGAGGGCAGCAGUGGGGGAAUUUUGGUACAAUGGGCGCAAGCCUGAUCCAGCCAUGCCGCGUGGGU